CCAGGAAGUCUGUGCUGCAGCAGGUGCCAUCCUCAGGGACCGUUAUCAUCAAUACCCUUGAGUUCUGGAUAAGUUUUCCCCAGACUUAGCUUUGUUAUUUUCUUAAUAGUGAAGUAUGGUGCAGAGAUCUCUCCCAAAAGCUCUGGAAGCUGCUGGUCCUGUCCGGAAAGGGGCUUGGUUGUGUGAUGUUCCUCACCAAUGAUUUUUACUGUGCAGCAGCUUUUACCCAGGUUCCAGCAGCAUCACGGUGGCACCAGUGACAGCAGUGUAAAAGCACUUGGCCUCUUUCAAUCUGGACAGUCACCUGUGAGGCACUAAGAGAGCUUCCUACAGCGAGGUCAGUCCAGCUGUCAGUCACUGCUCACCUGGGCCAGAUUUGAUUGCUGAUCCCAAGAUGAAAGGUUUCAUCCUGUCUUCUCCAGAGGCGGCUGCUCUUCCUGAAGAAAUAUUUCAAGACCAUUUCUACUGGAUACAGGAAAAAGAAGCAAACACAUUCCCGUGCUUUUACUUCCAUGCUGGUAUUGCAUUGCUUCCUGUGACCCUCUCUUCUCCCAGCAAUGCAUGGCUUUAAAGUUGCACAGGCUGGGUGGAAUAUAUUUUAGAGCGAGACUCAAUUUAGCCAUGAUGUCAACUGCAGCCAACUAUAAAAAGCUCAGUAAUGCUCUUUGAAAGUGUAACAGCUGCUGCUCUACACAGUCCCUGGUGUAUUACAAGUCCGCCCUACUUCAUGUGCACACAACCAAAAUAAAAUACGAUAGCAAUCAUUAUAUAGUUCAAGGAAUUUGGGACAAAAUCUCCCCAGAAACCAGGAGGAAUUCAAGGUUAGACAAACUGGGUAAUUUUACACAGUUUGUUAACAGAAAGGUAAUUUUAUCUGGCUUUGCAACGUAGCCUGACUUCUACCUCACACUUGACUACGUGUAAUCAGUGAUCCCUACACAGUGACAACCAAGCAGAAAACCUUUUGGCAGUUCUGGAUAAACUGACUUCUUGCAUGGGCAAACCAUGUGAAAGGAAGAGGAUUCAUGUCUCCCUGUCUAAGAAGAAAACAUAUAACCUCUUCAGCAGCAAUUCCUCUCAAUCAUCAGCAAGAUAGAGGCCAGAAGGUCUACAUUUCUUACUGGAGGGCACUGUUGCUGGACUAGACUGCCUCUUGGGACUUGUAUUUCCUCCAUGUUUCCCUUCCCAUGCAGAACCCGCUGUUCCAAGAAACAAGUGAAUAAUUUACUGGCUGAACUGAGCAUAUUCAUCUUAUCUGUGAAUUAAGCUCAGGGUUUUCUCAAAUACAUAAAUUAUUGGGAAUUUGUCAUAAUCAUUUGGGAAAUAUGUCUUCAUUUACAGGAUUGAUGAGCAAUUCACUGAAGGCGUUGGAAGUCAUUCUGGCUGCCUGGCAGGGAACAGCCAGGACCAGCUGCUUCUUGAGGGCCAGGGAGCCAAGGGGGCUGGGAGUGCAAGAUGAGGUGAGGACCUGGGGGCCUGUGGCCAUAGUUCAGGUGAGGGCCAAGGACAAGAGCUUCAGCUGAAGGAGUUCCCAAGGGCCAGGGAGCCAGUGUUGGUUUGGGCAGUGGCCUCCUGAUCAAGCUGCCUGGGAGUGCUCCCCAUGGCAGGUCCUGAGCCCUGGCAGCCAGACCUCCAGCAGUAAGGAGGACGUGCUCAGGGCCCCAUGGCUGCCUGGAUAGGUGGCUUUGGAUAAAUCUUUAUUUUAUGCCAGAUGAGCCAGGAUUCUACGCUGCAACACAGAUAACUAUCUCUGAAAAUGCAGAAUUUUCUUCUGGAAAAAUAUUUAAUAAUUUUUUAUUAAAUUAUCACUGACCAGAACUUCCUGACGCCUCUCAAAAUUUGAAUUUCCAUUUUUUUCUAAUAUAUCAUCUCGCAGCUAAUCCCCUUCCUACACCUGAUCAGGCA